rnacentral:rRNA from 1 species
AUGGAAACCGCCAGCAAAAACGUCACCAAUGUAGUGCGCUCCAUGAAGCUGCUCAAGGUCGACGGCUACUGUGCCACCAAAACUAUGGGCAACGACGACUGCAUCAAGUCCACCUACAGCAUUGGUGGGUAUGAGUGGGAGAUCUGCAUCUACCCUGCCAUGAUGCCCCGCGCACGCGACGGCACCCCGUGGGUGGCGGUGAAGCUCGUGUUCCUCAGCGAGACCUGCCCGUCCAUCGUGAGGGCGAACCUGAGCUGUCGUCUGGUUGAUCCGAGAAGCGUGCUUCGACCGUCUGAAGAAAAGAGUGUGUCAUGUAUAUUCAACCGUUCAUGGGUAUCUCGUUGUCUCCAGAUGUGCUCGCCUUUCGUGAGUGAAGAUUGUUCACUUCCAGUUCGUCUCAUGUCGACGGGCAGCCUGGCAUCAUCCGGUUUUCUCAGGAAUGAUUCUUUUACCGUGCUAUGUGUCAUCACGUUGCUGAAAGAGGAUUUGCCAGCACGAGCAAUCCCAGGUAAAGAAGUGACUGGGUCAUCACCUAGCCUGCAGAAACACCUUGCUGAGCUCCUGCACAGUGGGUUGGAAGCGGAUGUCACAUUUGUUGUAUCUGGCAAGUCUUUCGCUGCACACAAGGUCAUUCUGGCUGCAAGGUCCCCUGUACUGAUGGCCGAGUUCUUUGGCCACAUGAAGGAGACGAGCUCUCAGCGCGUCGAGAUCAAGGACAUUGAUGCGGUGGUAUUCAAGUCGUUGCUUUACUUCAUCUACACUGACUCUGUGCUGGAAUUUGAUCAGCAGCAUGAGGCGGUCACUAUGUUGGCUCAGCAUUUACUUGCAGCUGCUGACAAGUAUGGACUGGACAGGCUCAAGGAGAUCUGCGAAGGUAAGCUCUCUGAUGGCAUCAGUGUCGACACGGCAGCGACAACUCUGGCUUUAGCUGAGCAGCAUAACUGCCCCAAACUCAAGGUGAAGUGCGUUGAAUUCAUAGUUAGUACUCCUGAGAUUCUUGAUGCUGUGUUGGCGACGGAUGGAUAUAAGCAUCUGGAGGCAAGCUGCCCUAUGGUGUUGCCUGAGCUUCUUAAGUCUGCGCGGGGAAGAAAGAGUUGA